GAGUUUGAUCGUGGCUCAGGAUGAACGCUGGCGGCGUGCUUAACACAUGCAAGUCGAACGAAGCACUUUACUUGAUUUUCUUCGGAACUGAUUGUACUGUGACUGAGUGGCGGACGGGUGAGUAACGCGUGGAUAACCUGCCUCACACAGGGGGAUAACAGUUGGAAACGGCUGCUAAUACCGCAUAAGCGCACAGCACCGCAUGGUGCAGUGUGAAAAACUCUGGUGGUGUGAGAUGGAUCCGCGUCUGAUUAGGCAGUUGGCGGGGUAACGGCC
rnacentral:rRNA from 1 species